GAUGAACGCUGGCGGCGUGCCUAAUACAUGCCAGUCGAGCGAACAGAUGAGGAGCUUGCUCCUCUGACGUUAGCGGCGGACGGGUGAGUAACACGUGGAUAACCUACCUAUAAGACUGGGAUAACUUCGGGAAACCGGAGCUAAUACCGGAUAAUAUAUUGAACCGCAUGGUUCAAUAGUGAAAGACGGUUUUGCUGUCACUUAUAGAUGGAUCCGCGCCGCAUUAGCUAGUUGGUAAGGUAACGGCUUACCAAGGCAACGAUGCGUAGCCGACCUGAGAGGGUGAUCGGCCACACUGGAACUGAGACACGGUCCAGACUCCUACGGGAGGCAGCAGUAGGGAAUCUUCCGCAAUGGGCGAAAGCCUGACGGAGCAACGCCGCGUGAGUGAUGAAGGUCUUCGGAUCGUAAAACUCUGUUAUUAGGGAAGAACAAAUGUGUAAGUAACUAUGCACGUCUUGACGGUACCUAAUCAGAAAGCGACGGCUAACUACGUG
rnacentral:rRNA from 1 species